CCUACGGGAGGCAGCAGUGGGGAAUAUUGCACAAUGGGGGAAACCCUGAUGCAGCGACGCCGCGUGAGUGAUGAAGUAUCUCGGUUCGUAAAGCUCUAUCAGCAGGGAAGAAAAUGACGGUACCUGACUAGGAAGCCCCGGCUAACGACGUGCCAGCAGCCGCGGUAAUACGGAGGGGGCAAGCGUUAUCCGGAUUUACUGGGUGUAAAGGGAGCGUAGACGGCAGCACAAGUCUGGAGUGAACUCCCGGGGCUUAACCCCGGAAUUGCUUUUGAAACUGUGCGGCUGGAGUGCAUGAGGGGUAAGCGGAAUUCGUAGUGUAGCGGUGAAAUGCGUAGAUAUUAGGAGGAACACCGGUGGCGAAGGCGGCUUACUGGACUGUAACUGACGUUGAGGCUCGAAAGCGUGGGGAGCAAACAGGAUUAGAUACCCCUGUAGUC
rnacentral:rRNA from 1 species